GAUGAACGCUGGCGGCGUGCUUAACACAUGCAAGUCGAACGGGAAACCUUUUAUUGAAGCUUCGGCAGAUUUCGCUGGUUUCUAGUGGCGGACGGGUGAGUAACGCGUGGGUAACCUGCCUUAUACAGGGGGAUAACAACCAGAAAUGGUUGCUAAUACCGCAUAAGCGCACAGGACCGCAUGGUCCGGUGUGAAAAACUCCGGUGGUAUAAGAUGGACCCGCGUUGGAUUAGCUAGUUGGCAGGGUAACGGCCUACCAAGGCGACGAUCCAUAGCCGGCCUGAGAGGGUGAACGGCCACAUUGGGACUGAGACACGGCCCAGACUCCUACGGGAAGCAGCAGUGGGGAAUAUUGCACAAUGGGGGAAACCCUGAUGCAGCGACGCCGCGUGAAGGAAGAAGUAUCUCGGUAUGUAAACUUCUAUCAGCAGGGAAGAUAGUGACGGUACCUGACUAAGAAGCCCCGGCUAACUACGUG
rnacentral:rRNA from 1 species